rnacentral:rRNA from 1 species
UACGUAGGGGGCAAGCGUUGUCCGGAAUCAUUGGGCGUAAAGAGCGUGUAGGUGGCUCGGUAAGUCCGCUGUAAAAGUCCAGGGCUCAACCCUGGAAAGCCGGUGGAAACUGUCGAGCUAGAGUCCGGAAGAGGCGAGUGGAAUUCCUGGUGUAGCGGUGAAAUGCGCAGAUAUCAGGAGGAACACCUGUGGCGAAAGCGGCUCACUGGACCACAACUGACGCUGAUGCACGAAAGCUAGGGGAGCAAACAGG